GCCUAACACAUGCAAGUCGAGCGGAAACGAUCCUAGCUUGCUAGGAGGCGUCGCGCGGCGGACGGGUGAGUAAUGCAUAGGAAUCUACCCAGUCGUGGGGGAUAACCUGAGGAAACUCAGGCUAAUACCGCAUACGUCCUACGGGAGAAAGCGGGGGCUCUUCGGACCUCGCGCGAUUGGAUGAGCCUAUGUCGGAUUAGCUAGUUGGUAAGGUAACGGCUUACCAAGGCGACGAUCCGUAGCUGGUCUGAGAGGAUGAUCAGCCACACCGGGACUGAGACACGGCCCGGACUCCUACGGGAGGCAGCAGUGGGGAAUAUUGGACAAUGGGCGAAAGCCUGAUCCAGCCAUGCCGCGUGUGUGAAGAAGGCUUUCGGGUUGUAAAGCACUUUCAGCGAGGAAGAAAGCGUGCCGGUCAAUACCCGGUACGGACGACAUCACUCGCAGAAGAAGCACCGGCUAACUCCGUGCCAGCAGCCGCGGUAAUACGGAGGGUGCAAGCGUUAAUCGGAAUUACUGGGCGUAAAGCGCGCGUAGGCGGCGUGUCACGCCGGGUGUGAAAAGCCCCGGGCUCAACCUGGGAACGGGCAUCCGGAACGGGCAGGCUAGAGUGCAGGAG
rnacentral:rRNA from 1 species